rnacentral:misc_RNA from 1 species
CUUCGUUGCCCCGAUCAGGCAGCACCUGUAAAAUUUCUCCAAAAGAAGUUCAAAACCCUCGACCUUCAAGGAAAAGCCCUUAACUGGCUGAAAAAGUACCCUUGCUGCUUUGAAGUUUAUCUCCACAAUGAUGAGCACUACUUUCGGCUAACAAAGAGGAUGAUGGCUUUGGUUGAAGAGGAAGAAGCUGUCAAAGAUAUGCAGGAG